UGAAACACAGGGGACGUCUCGACAGCCGGACAGUGCUAUGCAAAAACAACCAUGCCCAUCAUACAAACAGUUCAUGGAGUACAGAAGCUCGAAAUCAAAAGAACGACAGUCUUUUAACUAUGGGCCAAAAGGAAGAUAUAGGCCUAAAGAAAGAACACGUCCAGAUAAACGUAGGAUUGAUGGUGCCAAGUGGAACUGAUUUAAAACCUCUAAGAGGGAAAACACUACAGUUAUUUACAGACCCAGAGGUAGCAGCACCUGAUUUCC